CAACCAUCAAGCCCCGCUUGUGUUGGGGACCUGCGGCUGCCCGCAGGCCCUGAAAACCAGUGGCGGGCUCGCUAGCAACACCGAGCGCAGUAGCAACAUUACGCUCAGGUCGUGCGGCGGGUUCCGGCCGUUAAAAGAAGCAAUUCUUUCCACA
rnacentral:misc_RNA from 1 species